rnacentral:rRNA from 1 species
CUACGGGCCGCAGCAGGCGCGAAACCUUUACAAUGCACGCAAGUGUGAUAAGGGGAUCCCGAGUGCUCAUGUAUAACAUGGGCUUUUGCUAAGACUAAGGACCUUGGCGAAUAAGUGGUGGGUAAGACUGGUGCCAGCCGCCGCGGUAACACCAGCGCCACAAGUGGCAGUCACGAUUAUUGGGCCUAAAGCGUCCGUAGCCGGUCCGGUAAAUCCUUUGUGAAAUCGCCAGGCUUAACCUGGCGGCGUGCAGGGGACACUACCGGGCUCGAGACCGGGAGGAGUCAGAAGUAUUUUGGGGGGAGCGGUAAAAUGCUAUAAUCCCCGAAAGACUACCUAUGGCGAAGGCAUCUGACCAGAACGGAUCUGACGGUGAGGGACGAAAGCCAGGGGAGCGAACCGGAUUAGAUACCCCAGUAGUC